rnacentral:rRNA from 1 species
UACGGAGGAUGCAAGCGUUUAUCCGGAAUGAUUGGGCGUAAAGCGUCCGCAGGUGGCAAUGUAAGUCUGCUGUUAAAGAGUCUAGCUCAACUAGAUAAAAGCAGUGGAAACUACAUAGCUAGAGUACGUUCGGGGCAGAGGGAAUUCCUGGUGUAGCGGUGAAAUGCGUAGAGAUCAGGAAGAACACCAGUGGCGAAGGCGCUCUGCUAGGCCGUAACUGACACUGAGGGACGAAAGCUAGGGGGAGCGAAUGGG